GGCUUUGUGGCCCAGUGGUUAAGGCAUCCCGCUCGUAUCAUAAUGGUGCAAACGGGGGGGUCCCGCGUUCGACUCGCGGCAGAGCCA
rnacentral:tRNA from 1 species